rnacentral:tRNA from 1 species
GUCCAGGAUAGCCUAUUGGACAUGGUAUCUGCCUGGUAAGCGGAACACUGUGGGUUUGAUUCCCAUCCCUGGACA